GCGAAUUCGCCCUUCGGGGUGCAGCAGGCGCGAAAACUUUGCAAUACACGAAAGUGUGACAGGGUCAUCCCGAGUGCCGACCGCUGAGGUUGGCUUUUACCCAGUCUAGAAAGCUGGGGGAAUAAGGAGAGGGCAAGUUUGGUGUCAGCCGCCGCGGUAAUACCAGCUCUCCGAGUGGUGUGGACGUUUAUUGGGCCUAAAGCAUCCGUAGCUGGCUGAACAAGUCCCCUGUUAAACCCACCGAUUUAAUCGUUGGUCUGCGGGGGAUACUGCUCGGCUAGGGGACGAGAGAGGCAGGCGGUAUUCUCGGGGUAGGGGUGAAAUCCUAUAAUCCCGGGAAGACCACCAGUGGCGAAGGCUGCCUGCUAGAGCGCGCCCGACGGUGAGGGAUGAAAGCUGGGGGAGCGAACCGGAUUAGAUACCCGGGUAGUCCCAGCUGUAAACGAUGCAGACUAGGUGUUUGGACGGCCACGUGCCGUUCUAGUGCCGCAGGGAAGCUGUUAAGUCUGCCGCCUGGGGAGUACGAUCGCAAGAUUGAAACUUAAAGGAAUUGGCGGGGGAGCAC
rnacentral:rRNA from 1 species